rnacentral:rRNA from 1 species
UACAGAGGGCGCGAGCGUUGUCCGGAAUCACUGGGCGUAAAGGGCGCGUAGGUGGCCACUGUAAGGCCGUGGUGAAAGUCCGGGGCUCAACCCCGGAUCUGCCGCGGCGACUGCAGGGCUUGGGCACCGUAGAGGCAGAUGGAAUUCCGGGUGUAGCGGUGGAAUGCGUAGAGAUCCGGAAGAACACCGGUGGCGAAGGCGGUCUGCUGGGCGGUGGGGGCGCAAGCUCCCAAUAGCCGACACUGAGGCGCGACAGCGUGGGGAGCAAACAGG